AUUGAACGCUGGCGGCAGGCCUAACACAUGCAAGUCGAACGAGUGGCGGACGGGUGAGUAAUGUCUGGGAAACUGCCUGAUGGAGGGGGAUAACUACUGGAAACGGUAGCUAAUACCGCAUACCAUCAGAUGUGCCCAGAUGGGAUUAGCUUGUUGGUGGGGUAACGGCUCACCAAGGCGACGAUCCCUAGCUGGUCUGAGAGGUUGACCAGCCACACUGGAACUGAGACACGGUCCAGAUUCCUACGGGAGGCAUCAGUGGGGAAUAUGGCAUAAUGGGCGCAAGCCUGAUGCAGCCACGCCGCGUGUAUGAAGAAGGCCUGCGGGUUGUAAAGUACUUUCAGCGGGGAGGCGUUACCCGCAGAAGAAGUUUCGGCUAAAUCCGUGCCAGCAGCAGCGGGAAUUC
rnacentral:rRNA from 1 species